AAGUCGUAACAAGGUUUCCGUAGGUGAACCUGCGGAAGGAUCAUUAACACGUAUCCAACGUUAAAACAACCCUGUGAACCUUCAGCGUGUUCUUGCAGGACAUCUAAAGAAUUACAGAUUUUGAUUUUGGGAAGUUCUGUGUGUACGUGGACGCUGCAAUUGAGCGCUAGCUAAAGCACUUCUGGUACCCUAGAGCACUCCCCUGUCUGAAAGCGCAGGGAUCAAUGUUCAGGGUAGCGCUGUCAACGAUCGCUGUAGGUCCACACGACCAGCGACCGGGGUGGAGGCGAAAGACUUGGCGAAAGCUGACUCCGUCAUAAAUCGAACAACUGUUAACAAUGGAUAUCUUGGUUC
rnacentral:misc_RNA from 1 species